GUUCAAUUCAGAACUGCAGAUAGUACAGCUUUCACAGGAGCAGGGGAUGCCUGAGCACAAGUGGCUGAGUUCCGAGUGACUUUAGGAAGCACUUUCCUCCCUCCCUCCUGCCUGAGAACGGGGAUUCUGCACCUGCAUCAGGGACAGUCUGGCAAAAGCCUCUGCCAUGCCUCGGGGGACAAGGAACUAGCACAAAUAACCGUUUUGAAAUUGGAUCUUGGCAAAAUUAACGACAAAUCCAUAAAGGAAACCGAAGGCAGUUUGAGCUUCAUCUUCGAUGACAAUCCCACCAAAGUUGAAGAAAUAUGUUACGUCUCUAAAGAAGAGCAUGGCUGUGCCCUAAAGUUAGGACGUGAUGGUGAAGCAAAUGUACACACCUCCAUGAAGACCUCUGGUUCAUGACGUGCAUAUCCAAAGCCCCGACAUUAAUGCCGUAUCCAUGGUUUUCAAUGGGGAGGAUAAUCUGUGAUAACAAAAUUGUAUCCCUUCCUUCCUGCAAUUACCUCACUAUCCGCACAGCCUUGACAUCUGGAAACCCACUGCUACAUUAGCAGCUGUGAUUCCUGUCCUACAGCAGGAAGUCAACUACACAUUCCAGAGAGCCCUAAUUGUUUUGAUUUUUUUUCUGGCAGCUCAAGAAGCUUGGAUAUUGGAGAACACACUAUUUUGUACCAACCACAUUUUGGAACCAUACACAAAAGUAUAACUUGUCACAAUCUGAACCACUUGUAGCUAUUGGAUGUUGUCUGUCUCUUAAUGAUACAUAACUAUACAUUUUCCAAAUUUAAUCAUGUUAAAUAUAGAGCACUUUAUUAGAAAAUUAAACCAGAUUCUGUUUGAAUUCACAGUACUAUCCAUGGUUUAUUUGGUGAUCUCACCUCUGCCAUCAUUUUCUUGAGUAAUCAACAUGGAAGAAGACUUAUGCAAAGAUAUGCUCUUGUCUAAAUAUUUGGAAGAGAAUUGGUUAAUUUAAUUAGAAACUGAUUCUUAUAGUAUUGUGAGAAUCCUUAUGCUCUGCAUUUGCUCACAUAGUGCCUCACUUAACACUUUCUGAUGUUUAUCAAUUUGAUAGAAAUCAAGAGAUCUCUAAAAGAAGUGUAAAGUUAUUGUGUUGGGAAACCCAACUGUCACUAAAUGUCUGAAACCAUUUUGUGUUUUUGAGCUGAUAAAAUCUAUAUAUUGUUUAUUCAGAAUGAUUUUAUUCCUUAAAAAGAAUCAAAGGGAAUAACUACUGGCUUGAUUUACUGUUCAUUUUAUCUUUGAAAUGGCUAGAAAUAAUUAUUACCUUCAAUGUAAGAGCAUGAGUCCUUUCUAUUCAUCAAAUUAAGAAUGAAAUGGAUUUUAGUAACACCCUACAAUUACAUUAUUAAUCAAAAUUAUUACCAGCCAUCUUCUAGAAAGUAAACUGGUUUGCUGCAAAACAGGUUGAGGAUUGCUCUGAUUUAGAGCACAACUCUGCAAAAAUACAAAAUAUGAUUUUUAUUUAGUACACAAAUUUUAUAUUUUUCCUCUUUCCUUCAGUUCCUC
rnacentral:lncRNA from 1 species